ensembl:lncRNA
GCCACCUCUUGGACUGACACUGUAAUUACACAUUCUUUUUUGGGAAAUCGAUUCUGGUGCGUUUAAUUCGUGUUUAAAAAUUCGUAACUUUAGUUUUAUGCAGUACAGUAAACAAAUAAGUAAAUAAAAUUAAAGAUACAUAAAAUUCACAAUUUAAUCUAGGCUAAGAGCAAUUGAAUUCAUUCAAACCAACAAACAAACUGCGUGUGGUUAUGUUAUAAAUAUAAAAAUAAUAAAAAAAAACAAAUAAAAUUUUGCGUUUAUCCUGUCCACUUAUCUAUAUAAUGAUGACUCUAUCUUAACUCUUCUCUAUCAGAUAUCCUCCUGUCACUAAACUGUUGCGUCACGUGGUUUUGGCAGUAACUAUGGAAACGUCCACGCAAUGCACUAUCAGCUUCCGUUUUUUACUUUUAUCCACCGCCGUAUAUAGGAUUGAGACCAUGGCCGUAGCUUCUAUUGUUAAGCUUCUUAAACGGACUAAACUGACAUUAUAGUUUGUCUGGCAUCUGAAAGUGGAGAUGAAGCCUCAUACCAGCGUCGUCAGACCUAAACUGAUGUCACUGCCAGCUGAAGCUCCUCUGAUAAUACAGGACGUUACAGACGCGCGAGCCAUGCAUCCUUCAAACCUCAUCUCCAGUCCUCCAGUGUCCGGAUGUUCCACGGCUGCUGAAGCCAGGCUGAAUGUUUUCUCAGCGACACGGAAAUGCCCACGCAGUCCGAGCGAUUCCAGGGAUCUAAAGCCUCACAGUGUCAGCUCUAUUACUAAAGGGCCACUGCUUCCAUUUCUAGCCAAAAAUCACUCAAACGUAACCUUACAAAACAAUGUGUAUGACAGUGAUAUUUCUGGACGGCAUUUCUUAUUUGAUAAACGAUGGAGAAAUGGAACUUACUUCACUAAUGGCAUUGAAGGUGAUGUUCUGAUAAACCACAACACUACAAAUCCACUGUCUCAGGACUUCCAUGUGUAUCGCUCUCACAAUCUAACCAGAUUCGCCCACCGCAAAGAACUCUGCCUGCGCGACCCAAGACCACUUAUUUGCGGGUCUGAUUAUCUGGCUUCAUUUCCAUCAGUUCUGUUACCAGCCACCACCCCAUCUGUCAGUGGACGGCUCUGUUUAUCACAAAACUAUAAAAACAGGUAACAUUUUUUUUUUUUUAAUUUGGCUAUACAUAUUGUUUUUAUUGCAUACUUAUUAUACUCUCUCUUGUCUUACUCUCUGCAUUUCAGAUUAAGGAUGAAAACCAGAGCACGAAAUCUCUUCGAUGGCGCUAACAACAAAAGUGAGCAUUUCAGCUUUAAGCUUAAAGCGAAUGUUUAAAUGCUUAUUAGUUAGCAUCAGUUAACUGAUUUAUUGUCUUGUGAUAACUCAUCUAAAUAGACUAUUUUUGAAAGCUUAUUUUUAUCAGUUGGCACUGGUAAAUUGAGCACAUAGCAUGUGUUAUUUAGGUGUUUGCUCAGUGUUUAACAGAUGAGAUCUUUCACUUCACUCCUGUUACAGAUUCAGACCACAGACACUGAUGAAUUUCACAUGUGCAUGUGUUUUUCAUGAGCUCACAAACGUUGAAUACACACACUUAACUCACUUAACACUUAAGCACACACACACACACACACACACACACACACACACACACACACACACACACACACACACACCUCCCACCAGGCUGUAGGCCAUUAUUGAAAUUCCAAGUCUUUUGUAUGAGGUGAGAAGAGCGUUACCUGUGUAAACCUGAAUAAGCAAACUGUGCUCUUGUCUAACCAGCCUGUGGGCCGGUAAUUGUUUUUCAGCCCAAUCGUACCCUGAUCCACACCUGGGUGCCUCGGCCUCUUUUGUUCAGAGGCUCACAGAGAUUUCCUCUCUGGAAGCAGAAACAGUGCGGCAGGAGAGAAUGAAGAGACUCAAAAAGAUCAAUAGGCAGGAUUCUUAAUCGGAGUUCAUUAGCCAAAGAGGAAACACUUGACUCUUGAAAUCACAGCUGUGCCAAGAUGGAGCAAAUAAAAUCAAGGAGAAAAACUUGAGAGGUACA